rnacentral:rRNA from 1 species
GUUGGGGCAGGGAACCUCAUCUUUUACUGUGAAAAAAUUAGAGUGUUUAAAGCAGGCUUACGCCGUUGAAUACAUUAGCAUGGAAUAAUAAGAUAGGACUUUGGUGGUCUAUUUUGUUGGUUUGCACACCGAAGUAAUGAUUAAGAGGGACAGUUGGGGUAUUCGUAUUUAAUUGUCAGAGGUGAAAUUCUUGGAUUUAUGAAAGACUAACUUCUGCGAAAGCAUUUGUCAAGGAUGUUUUCAUUAAUCAAGAACGAAAGUUAGGGGAUCGAAGACGAUCAGAUACCGUCGUAGUCUUAACCAUAAACUAUGCCGACCAAGGAUUGGGAGACGUUAUAUUUUUAAAUGACCCCCCCAGCACUUUGCGAGAAAUCAUAAGUCUUUGGGUUCCGGGGGGAGUAUGGUCGCAAGGCUGAAACUUAAAGGAAUUGACGGAAGGG